GACGAGGGGUCCAAGCGUUGUUCGGAAUCAUUGGGCGUAAAGCGGGUGUAGGUGGCUUUGUAAGUCAGGAGUGAAAUCCCCGAGCUUAACUUGGGAAGUGCUUUGAAACUGCAGAGCUUGAAUGUGGGAGAGGAUCGUGGAAUUCCAGGUGUAGUGGUGAAAUACGUAGAUAUCUGGAGGAACACCGGUGGCGAAGGCGGCGAUCUGGCCCAACAUUGACACUGAGACCCGAAAGCGUGGGGAUCGAAAACAGGAU
rnacentral:rRNA from 1 species